rnacentral:rRNA from 1 species
UACGUAGGUGGCAAGCGUUGUCCGGAUUUACUGGGUGUAAAGGGCGUGCAGCCGGGAGUGCAAGUCAGAUGUGAAAUCCCGCGGCUCAACCGCGGAACUGCAUUUGAAACUGCCAUACUGGAGUGCCGGAGAGGUAAGUGGAAUUCCUAGUGUAGCGGUGAAAUGCGUAGAUAUUAGGAGGAACACCAGUGGCGAAGGCGGCUUACUGGACGGUAACUGACGCUGAGGCUCGAAAGCAUGGGUAGCGAACAGG